rnacentral:hammerhead_ribozyme from 10 species
AGCUGGUCGGGAGCUAUUGCCGUUCCCCAGAUGAGCCCAUGGCAGGACGAAACUAGUU